rnacentral:rRNA from 1 species
GACAGAGGGUGCAAGCGUUGUUCGGAAUCAUUGGGCGUAAAGGGCGCGUAGGCGGUCCAUUAAGUCCGGGGUGAAAGCCCGUUGCUCAACAACGGAACUGCCCUGGAACUGGCGGACUUGAGUACAGACGAGGGUGGCGGAAUGGAUGCUGUAGCGGUGAAAUGCUAGAGUAGCGAAAGAUCCACAACCCGGAGUAAGCGAAGCAUGUCGUGCCCUU